rnacentral:lncRNA from 1 species
CUGAUGCAGCUGGGUGUUGCCAUUAUGAUUGAUGAAUUUCAAGUCAAAGUCUGUUACAUUUUUCCCCCAUGCCAGUUCAAACAGAUACUUGAAAACACCUGUAGAUUUUAAGAUUUAGUUGAAAGAGCUGUUGCAGACAGAUGUGCCUAAUUAAUGCUGAAUAUGUCUGAAAUAUUGUUCAUUUCAUUACAUUUGAAAUUUACAGAGAAUGAACCAUUGCAUUGCGAAUUACUUGGGUGUCAGCUUCAGAAACUCCAUCACAUAAUUCUUUGGGGUGGCAAGAUCUACAGUUCUUAAGAAGACAGAAUUAAAAUACUUUGCUGAAGACCAUCCUUUUUCUCUGGUGAGAUAUAUACAUAUUUCCUAAAGUCCUAGUUGGUAGGAUGCUGAAGCUCAAGAGAAAUCCUACUAUUGGAAAGGAGAGCAGAUUUUAUGAGAAGAAAGGCCAAAAAACAUACUGAAGAAUUGACUAUUCAUAGUGGAUUGACAUGGAAGAUUUUCUUUCCUGGAAUGAAGUGUAAUAGAGGGGAAGGUACUGAGAUUCUACAGAUUUCAGCUAAUGUAGUUUCAUUAUCUUACAUUCAUGAAUCUUAUUAGAAAUGGGAAAGAUUUGAGAAAGAGAUGUUUAUCUGCAAAAUGUAUCAAAUUUCCAAGAAGUCUUCUGGGAGUAAAAUGGAUUUUCAUUUUGAGACUGUACAUCCAGGAAGAGAGGAUCAAGAUUCCUGAUUUUAACUCACUAGAGGAAAGAGGUCACGAGCCAAGUGGAAGAAUAAGCCACACAACCACAAUGCUCAUCAGUGUGGAAAUCUGCUUUCAGUUGCUGUAAAUAUUUUGGAUGGAUUAUGAAGGAAAAACUAACAAAGAAUAUGGAAGAAAACACACAUCUAUGACAAAUCAAGAGAAAGAAGAGAUAAAAUGAUGGAAAAACAGAGCCUGAACUAUCACAGAUCUCACUUGGAGAGGACUACCAGAUCAAGGAGGCCUAAACUCAACAUUUUUGUCAGCAUCUUGUGCUGACUGCUAAGGCCAUUCUGCUGCAGCUCUCAGCUGGAAGGCUGUGCACCCUACUGAGCAAUAAAGAGGUAAGCUGGAGUGUAUCA